UUCCUGCAUAUAAACCCCCAAUUAUAGUCAGUCAUGGAGAAGGAUUUGAGACUGAUCUCCCAUCUCUUCAGCUGCAGCACCUGAUUAAAGCCUUCUUCCCUAAAAAUACUUGUUGGCUCAGUGAUUGGCUUUCUGUGUGAUGAACAGCAGGACCUAGACAGGACCCUUCGUGUUUUGGAUCUCAGCACCCGUAUAUAAGAACAGCGUCAAUUUUGCUUGGCUUUGGAGGAGAAUUUGGAUGAAAAUGCAGAAGGAC
rnacentral:lncRNA from 1 species